rnacentral:lncRNA from 1 species
AGGCAAAUUCCCCGGACCCUGCACUGCCCUUUUAUCAAGAAAGGCAAAUUCAGUACCUGUAGUUACUAACUUGAGAUUAGUACCUGCAACCGAACGUACCCCUUCCCAACUACUUACGCAGGAGAUGAACUGAACUACUUAUUUCCCUAGAUGCGUGUACCCUUGUUCUUAAAAUGGGACAUCAAUGCGUCACUAAUAUUCUAUUCUAGCAAUGUGAUGCAGACCCGUACAGUCAAAAUGAGCAUGAAGAAGGAACUGCAAUGGCCACUAGCGAGUGGUUGAAAGCACAGCUGGACAAUCAAAACAAUUAUCCCUCAAGGACUGACUAUAUUACUUGUUCCAAAUUAUCAUACCUCAAACACCUAAAUCCUAGAGCAAUCGAUGAGACAAAACGACAUACCCAUGCAAUGAAGUAUUUAGCUAAAAUGAAUUGAAAAGAGAAGAGAAAAUAAGUCAUUCAUCGGAUAUUCCUUGCUCCAUUUAGCUGCAAAGUAGCGAUCGGAACUAGUCCAACAAGGCAGAAGGAAAUUAAACAGGAAGCAUCAAGUAAAGAAACAAUAUUUCGUCUGUAAGCCAAGUGACAGAAAUAUAACCAUCGGUGGAUCACACCCAUCAAUUGGUUUCGUAGUGUAGUGGUUAGCACUCGACUUUGAAUCUGGCGACCUGGGUUCGAAUCCCGGCGAGACCUACUUUUUUAGCUGGCAUUUUAGUGUUUCCAUGGUACAAUGUACUCACAUUUUUUUUAUGACAUUUAGUAUUUGCGAAAAAUAUUGAUUCAAUUUUUGCUGACAUUUAUUAUUUCCAGUGUAGAAUGUACUCCUAUUUUUGCUGACAUUUAGUACUUCCCUGGUACAAUGUACUCAGAGCUUCCAUGGUACAAAUACUCAACAGUCUAGAGGCUAAUAACACUUGAAACAUACCUCUGUCUUCUGAUUUACAUUGGUGUGACUAUAACCUCGCCAAAAUUUAUAUUUCACUAUCAAGAAAGGCAAAUUCCCCGGACCCUGCGCUGCCCAUUUAUCAAGAAAGGCAAAUUCAGUACCUGUAGUUACUAACUUGAGAUUAGUAGCUGCAACCGAACGUACCCCUUCCCAACUACUUACGCUGG